UUGGAGGGCAAGUCUGGUGCCAGCAGCCGCGGUAAUUCCAGCUCCAAUAGCGUAUAUUAAAGUUGUUGCAGUUAAAAAGCUCGUAGUUGAACUUUGGGCCCGGUUGGCCGGUCCGAUUUUUUCGUGUACUGGAUUUCCAACGGGGCCUUUCCUUCUGGCUAACCUUGAGUCCUUGUGGCUCUUGGCGAACCAGGACUUUUACUUUGAAAAAAUUAGAGUGUUUAAAGCAGGC
rnacentral:rRNA from 1 species